UACGUAGGUGGCAAGCGUUGUCCGGAUUUAUUGGGUUUAAAGGGUGCGUAGGCGGCUUUGUAAGUCAGUGGUGAAAUACUCCAGCUUAACUGGAGGGGUGCCAUUGAUACUGCGGAGCUUGAGUACAGAUGAGGUAGGCGGAAUUGACGGUGUAGCGGUGAAAUGCAUAGAUAUCGUCAAGAACACCGAUAGCGAAAGGCAGCUUACUGGGCUGUAAACUGACGGCUGAUGCACGAAAGUGUGGGGAUCAAACAGG
rnacentral:rRNA from 1 species